rnacentral:rRNA from 1 species
UACAGAGGGCUCAAGCGUUGUUCGGAUUCAUUGGGCGUAAAGGGUGCGUAGGUGGCGUCGUAAGUCAGGUGUGAAAUCUCGGGGCUCAACCCCGAAACUGCACUUGAUACUGCGAUGCUCGAGUACUGGAGAGGAGAUUGGAAUUUACGGUGUAGCAGUGAAAUGCGUAGAUAUCGUAAGGAAGACCAGUGGCGAAGGCGAAUCUCUGGACAGUUACUGACACUGAGGCACGAAGGCCAGGGGAGCAAACGGG